rnacentral:rRNA from 1 species
UGGUAAAGCCGCGAAUGGCUCAUUACAACAGCCACAGUUUAUUGGGUCUCCAUUUACUUGGAUAACUGAGCUAAUUGUUGAGCUAAUACACGCACCAAAGCUUCGACCUCACGGGAGGAGCGCAUUUAUUAGAACAAAACCAAUCGGACUUCGGUCCGUCCAUUGGUGAAUCUAAAUAACUUAGCCGAUCGCAUGGUCUCGCACCGGCGACUCACCUUUCAAAUGUCUGCCUUAUCACCUUUCGAUGGUAGUUUAUACGCCUACCAUGGGUUUUACGGGUAACGGAGAAUAAGGGUUCGACUCCGGAGAGGGAGCCUGAGAAACGGCUACCACAUCCAAGGAAGGCAGCAGGCACGCAAAUUACCCACUCCCGGCACGGGGAGGUAGUGACGAAAAAUAACGAGGCGGUUCUCUAUGAGGCCCGCCAUCGGAAUGGGUACAAUCUAAAUCCUUUAACGAGGAACUAUUGGAGGGCAAGUCUGGUGCCAGCAGCCGCGGUAAUUCCAGCUCCAAUAGCGUAUAUUAAAGUUGU